GACGAACGCUGGCGGCGUGCCUAGUACAUGCAAGUAGAACGCUGAAGGAGGAGCUUGCUCUUCUGGAUGAGUUGCGAACGGGUGAGUAACGCGUAGGUAACCUGCCUGGUAGCGGGGGAUAACUAUUGGAAACGAUAGCUAAUACCGCAUAACAGUAGAUGUUGCAUGACAUUUACUUAAAAGGUGCAAUUGCAUCACUACCAGAUGGACCUGCGUUGUAUUAGCUAGUUGGUGGGGUAACGGCUCACCAAGGCGACGAUACAUAGCCGACCUGAGAGGGUGAUCGGCCACACUGGGACUGAGACACGGCCCAGACUCCUACGGGAGGCAGCAGUAGGGAAUCUUCGGCAAUGGACGGAAGUCUGACCGAGCAACGCCGCGUGAGUGAAGAAGGUUUUCGGAUCGUAAAGCUCUGUUGUAAGAGAAGAACGAGUGUGAGAGUGGAAAGUUCACACUGUGACGGUAUCUUACCAGAAAGGGACGGCUAACUACGUG
rnacentral:rRNA from 1 species